ACACAUUGGUUCUCAUAUGAUCAUCGAAGUUAAGCAUUAUCAAGCUUGGCCAAUACCUAGAUGGGUGACCUCUUGGGAAUACCAGGUGCUGUAA